AACCGCCGUAUACCGAACGGUAUGUACGGUGGUGUGGAAGGUCGGCUAUCCAACUAAUGGAUAGCCUCCUAUCCGAU
rnacentral:misc_RNA from 1 species